UACGAAGGGGGCUAGCGUUGUUCGGAAUCACUGGGCGUAAAGCGCACGUAGGCGGAUCUUUAAGUCAGGGGUGAAAUCCCGAGGCUCAACCUCGGAACUGCCUUUGAUACUGGGAUCUCGAGUCCGGGAGAGGUGAGUGGAACUGCGAGUGUAGAGGUGAAAUUCGUAGAUAUUCGCAAGAACACCAGUGGCGAAGGCGGACU
rnacentral:rRNA from 1 species